rnacentral:rRNA from 1 species
UUGGAUCCAGACUUUGAUCAUGGCUCAGAUUGAACGCUGGCGGCAUGCCUUACACAUGCAAGUCAAACGGCAGCAUGGAGAGCUUGCUCUCUGAUGGCGAGUGGCGGACGGGUGAGUAAUACAUCGGAACGUGUCCGUUUGUGGGGGACAACCGUCCGAAAGGAUGGCUAAUACCGCAUAAGACCUGAGGGUGAAAGCCGGGGACCGCAAGGCCCGGCGCAGACGGAGCGGCCGAUGAUUGAUUAGCUAGUUGGGGAGGUAAAGGCUCACCAAGGCGACGAUCAAUAGCUGGUCUGAGAGGACGACCAGCCACACUGGAACUGAGACACGGUCCAGACUCCUACGGGAGGCAGCAGUGGGGAAUUUUGGACAAUGGGGGCAACCCUGAUCCAGCCAUGCCGCGUGCGGGAAGAAGGCCUUCGGGUUGUAAACCGCUUUUGUCAGGGACGAAAAGCUCCGGAGUAAUAUGCCGGAGUGCUGACGGUACCUGAAGAAUAAGCACCGGCUAACUACGUGCCAGCAGCCGCGGUAAUACGUAGGGUGCAAGCGUUAAUCGGAAUUACUGGGCGUAAAGCGUGCGCAGGCGGUUGGGUAAGACAGAUGUGAAAUCCCCGGGCUUAACCUGGGAACUGCAUUUGUGACUGUCCGACUGGAGUACGUCAGAGGGGGGUGGAAUUCCACGUGUAGCAGUGAAAUGCGUAGAUAUGUGGAAGAACACCGAUGGCGAAGGCAGCCCCCUGGGACGCAACUGACGCUCAUGCACGAAAGCGUGGGGAGCAAACAGGAUUAGAUACCCUGGUAGUCCACGCCCUAAACGAUGUCUGCUGGUUGUUGGGAAUUUAAUUCUCAGUAACGAAGCCAACGCGUGAAGCAGACCGCCUGGGGAGUACGGUCGCAAGAUUACAACUCAAAUGAAUUGACGGA